rnacentral:rRNA from 1 species
GAUGAACGCUGGCGGCGUGCCGAAUACAUGCAAGUCGAGCGAACAGACGAGGAGCUUGCGCCGCGGACGUGAGCGGCGGACGGGUGAGUAACACGUGGAGAACCUACCUAUAAGACUGGGAUAACUUCGGGAAACCGGAGCUAAUACCGGAUAAUAUAUUGAACCGCAUGGUUCAAUAGUGAAAGACGGUUUUGCUGUCACUUAUAGAUGGAUCCGCGCCGCAUUAGCUAGUUGGUAAGGUAACGGCUUACCAAGGCAACGAUGCGUAGCCGACCUGAGAGGGUGCUCGGCCACCCUGUAACUGAGACACGGUCCAGACUCCUACGGGAGGCAGCAGUAGGGAAUCUUCCGCAAUGGGCGAAAGCCUGACGGAGCAACGCCGCGUGAGUGAUGAAGGUCUUCGGAUCGUAAAACUCUGUUAUUAGGGAAGAACAAAUGUGUAAGUAACUAUGCACGUCUUGACGGUACCUAAUCAGAAAGCCACGGCUAACUACGUG